rnacentral:rRNA from 1 species
AGCUCCAAUAGCGUAUACUAAAGUUGUUGCGGUUAACGCGAGGUUAGGAACGCGAGGUCGCUUUACUGAGUGAACUUUGUGGCGCAUUCUUCCAUUUGGUCGGUGUGUUUGUGCUCUUAAUUGAGUGCAACAUGCUACCAGAAAUUUUACCUUGAAAAAAUUAGAGUGUUCAAAGCAGACCUUUUUGUGUCUGAAUAUUCGUGCAUGGAAUAAUAAAAUAUGAAUUCGGUUCUAUUUUAUUGGUUUUCGGAACUCGAGUUAAUGAUUAAGAGGGACAGACGGGGGCAUCCGUACUCUGCCGUUAGAGGUGAAAUUCUUGGAUCGGCGGAAGACGCGCAACUGCGAAAGCAUUUGCCAAGAAUGUUUUCU